UACGGAGGGUGCGAGCGUUAAUCGGAAUUACUGGGCGUAAAGCGUGCGCAGGCGGUGAUGUAAGACAGAUGUGAAAUCCCCGGGCUCAACCUGGGAACUGCAUUUGUGACUGCAUCGCUGGAGUGCGGCAGAGGGGGAUGGAAUUCCGCGUGUAGCAGUGAAAUGCGUAGAUAUGCGGAGGAACACCGAUGGCGAAGGCAAUCCCCUGGGCCUGCACUGACGCUCAUGCACGAAAGCGUGGGGAGCAAACAGG
rnacentral:rRNA from 1 species